rnacentral:rRNA from 1 species
UGCCAGCAGCAGCGGUAAUAUGGAGGGGGCUCGCGUUGUUCGGCAUUACUGGGCGUAAAGCGCGCGUAGGCGGGCUGGUCAGUUGGGGGUGAAAUCCCGAGGCUCAACCUCGGAACUGCCCUCAAUACUGCCAGUCUAGGGUUCGAGAGAGGUGAGUGGAAUUCCUAGUGUAGAGGUGAAAUUCGUAGAUAUUAGGAAGAACACCAGUGGCGAAGUCGGCUCACUGGCUCGAUACUGACGCUGAGGCGCGAAAGCGUGGGGAGCACACAGGAGUAGAUA